rnacentral:rRNA from 1 species
GAUGAACGCUGGCGGCGUGCCUAAUACAUGCAAGUCGAGCGAACGGACGAGAAGCUUGCUUCUCUGAUGUUAGCGGCGGACGGGUGAGUAACACGUGGAUAACCUACCUAUAAGACUGGGAUAACUUCGGGAAACCGGAGCUAAUACCGGAUAAUAUUUUGAACCGCAUGGUUCAAAAGUGAAAGACGGUCUUGCUGUCACUUAUAGAUGGAUCCGCGCUGCAUUAGCUAGUUGGUAAGGUAACGGCUUACCAAGGCAACGAUGCAUAGCCGACCUGAGAGGGUGAUCGGCCACACUGGAACUGAGACACGGUCCAGACUCCUACGGGAGGCAGCAGUAGGGAAUCUUCCGCAAUGGGCGAAAGCCUGACGGAGCAACGCCGCGUGAGUGAUGAAGGUCUUCGGAUCGUAAAACGCUGUUAUUAGGGAAGAACAUAUGUGUAAGUAACUGUGCACAUCUUGACGGGACCUAAUCAGAAAGCCACGGCUAACUACGU